ACGAACGCUGGCGGCGUGCUUAACACAUGCCAGUCGCACGGAAAGGCCCCCAUCUUGGUGGGGGUGCUCGAGUGGCGAACGGGUGAGUAACACGUGGGUGAUCUGCCCUGUACUUCGGGAUAAGCUUGGGAAACUGGGUCUAAUACCGGAUAGGACCAUGGUUUAGUGUCUCAUGGUGGAAAGAUUAUUGUUUUGGUGCAGGAUGAGCUCGCGGCCUAUCAGCUUGUUGGUGGGGUAAUGGCCUACCAAGGCGUCGACGGGUAGCCGGCCUGAGAGGGUGGACGGCCACAUGGGGACUGAGAUACGGCCCAGACUCCUACGGGAGGCAGCAGUGGGGAAUAUUGCACAAUGGGCGCAAGCCUGAUGCAGCGACGCCGCGUGGGGGAUGACGGCCUUCGGGUUGUAAACUCCUUUCGUUAGGGACGAAGCCGCACUUUUUUUGGGUGUGGUGACGGUACCUUUGUUAAGAAGCACCGGCUAACUACGUG
rnacentral:rRNA from 1 species